rnacentral:rRNA from 1 species
AUUGAACGCUGGCGGCAGGCUUAACACAUGCAAGUCGAGCGGGGGAAGGUAGCUUGCUACCGGACCUAGCGGCGGACGGGUGAGUAAUGCUUAGGAAUCUGCCUAUUAGUGGGGGACAACAUCUCGAAAGGGAUGCUAAUACCGCAUACGUCCUACGGGAGAAAGCAGGGGAUCUUCGGACCUUGCGCUAAUAGAUGAGCCUAAGUCGGAUUAGCUAGUUGGUGGGGUAAAGGCCUACCAAGGCGACGAUCUGUAGCGGGUCUGAGAGGAUGAUCCGCCACACUGGGACUGAGACACGGCCCAGACUCCUACGGGAGGCAGCAGUGGGGAAUAUUGGACAAUGGGGGGAACCCUGAUCCAGCCAUGCCGCGGGUGUGAAGAAGGCCUUAUGGUUGUAAAGCACGUUAAGCGAGGAGGAGGCUACUUUAGUUAAUACCUAGAGAUAGUGGACGUUACUCGCAGAAUAAGCACCGGCUAACUCGGUG